UUCCCAGUCACGAUAACCUGCGAUAAGCCGAGAGGAGCCGGUAACUAGGCUGUGAUCCUCGGAUCUCCGAAUGGGGCAACCCCACCGAAUGGUGACUCCGGUCUGAAUGCAUAGGACCGGCAGAGCGAACGCAGCGAACUGAAACAUCUCAGUAGCUGCAGGAAAGGAAAGCAACAGCGACUCCGCAAGUAGCGCCGAGCGAACGCGGACCUAAGCGGGAAACGUACGAACGACCUGGAAAGGUCGACCAAAGAAGGUGAUAGUCCUGUACGACGGGAACCGUGAAUGGCUUCAAGUAGAGUCAGGCUCGAGAAACCUGGCUUGAACAUGGGGGGACCACCCUCCAAGCCUGAGUACUCCUCAAUGACCGAUAGUGAACCAGUAAGGCGACUGAACGGUGAAAAGCACCCCGACAAGGGGAGUGAAAUAGCACCUGAAAUCAUGUGCUUACACAGCGGUCACGGCCCGCAAGGGUUGUGGCGUGCCUUUUGCAUAAUGAUCUGGCGAGUUACUGUCUGCGGCAAGGGUAAGCCUUAUCCAGGCGCACCCGAAGCGAAAGCGAGUCUUAAAAGGGCGUCAAGUUGCAGGCGGUAGGCGCGAAACCGGUUGAUCUACCCAUGGGCAGGCUGAAGAGAGGGUAAAACCUCUUGGAGGGCCGAAGCCGUGAACGUUGAAAAGUUCUGGCAUGACCUGUGGGGAGGGCUUAAAGUGCAAUCAUAACCGGAGAUAUCUCGUUCUCUCCGAAAUAGUUUUUGGACUAGCCUCAGCUUGUCAGUGCAUGGGGGUAGAGCUACUGAAUGGGGUCUGGGGGCCUACCCGGCUACCCGCCCCAAUCAAACUCCGAAUACCGUGCACGCAGCGCUGGGAGUAAGACUACGAGGGAUAAUCUUCGUGGUCAAAAGGGAAACAACCCGGACCAUCGGCUAAGGUCCCUAAGUCAUGCUCAGUUGAAAAGGUAGUCAGAAUGCUGUGACAGCCAGGAUGUUGGCUUAGAAGCAGCCACCAUUUAAAAAGUGCGUAACAGCUUACUGGUCGAGGAUUCUGGCGCCGAUAAUUAUCGGGGAUAAGCAUGACACCGAAGCCGUGGGACUCGUAUGAGUCGGUAGGAGAGCGUUGCUGUCAGCGUCGAAGUUUUCCCGUAAGGGUUGAUGGAGCGGCAGCAAGUGAAUAUGCCAGAUUGAGUAACGAUUAAUGCAGUGAGAAUCUGCAUCCCCGUAUGCCCAAGGUUUCCUGGGGAAGGUAAUUCCGCCCAGGGUUAGUCGGAGCCUAAGGCAAGGCCGAAAGGCGUAGUCGAUGGACAGCUGGUUAAUAUUCCAGCACCCUCGCGUAGGUUGAUGGCAGGUGACGGAUUUCCAUAUCUCAACGGGACAGUGAAGCGUCCAGGCCGUAUGGCCGGUGUUGGGUGAGGAAGUCUCAAGAAAAGCCCUGCCGGACGUUUACGAGGUCCGUACCAAAACUGACACAGGUGGGCGUGGCGAAUAGCCUCAGGGGCUCGAGAAAACGGUCCUGAAGGAACUAGGCAAUUUGACCCCGUAAGUUCGCGAUAAGGGGGCCCUACUCGCAAGAGAGGGCGCAGAGAAAAGGCUCUGGGAACUGUUUAUCAAAAACACAGCACUGUGCUAACUCGCAAGAGGAUGUAUACAGUGUGACGCUUGCCCGGUGCCGGAACGUCAAGGGAGCUGGUUAGCGCAAGCGAAGCUAGCGACCGAAGCGCCGGUAAACGGCGGCCGUAACUCUGACGGUCCUAAGGUAGCGAAGUUCCUUGUCGGGUAAGUUCCGACGCGCAUGAAUAGCGUAAUCACUGGAGCACUGUCUCCAGGACCGACUCGGUGAAAUAGUAGUGGCGGUGAAGAUGCCGCCUACCCGCAGCAUAUCGUGACUGGGAAAC
rnacentral:rRNA from 1 species